rnacentral:lncRNA from 1 species
UGGGGCUGCCGAAAAAUCACGCUUUUGCCUCCUGAAGAUAGUGGCUAUUCAGGCAGGAUCCUGAAGUUUGCAAGUCGUGGGGCCAAAAAUCUCUUCAUAGCCCAAAUUCAGGAAGAACUGAGCACAAGUCCCCUACAGUUGGAUGACGAGUCUUUCAGGAACAUGCCGAAAGCAGACUGUCAGAAGUGUGGACUACCAGUUCCGCUUCCACUCCUGACAGAACACAUCAAAACAUGUGAUGUCAUUGAUGAUAUAGUCAUUGAAGAGAGGGAAACAGAUAUGCAGGAAUGUCCUGUGUGCACACAAAUCUUCCCAACAGAUUUUAUUGAGGCACACGCUUCGGCCUGUGGGGAGAGGUAUCCAUUUACUUGUUUGUCCUUUUUCUCUCACCAACAAUUGUCUUACUCUUUGUGCAAGUGUGACACAAAAUAUUUGUAUGUGGCUAGUGCUAGUGCAGGGAAUGAGAUGCAUGCAAGUACGAUCAGUGAGGAAGAAGCAGCAAUACCUGGAACAUCCGGAGGAGAUAGAGAUAGAGAUGGAGGCUGGUUCACCAUUGCUGACCCCGCCAAGGCCAUAGCGCAGUGUGUGGAGAAUCAUCUCAGCCUUCACAAGGAGGAGAAUCCAUUGCAGCUAACCAUGGACAUAAGAAGUAGUCCUACCGAACAGGACAUGGCCCUGAUCUCCUUUAACAAGCCGCCAAAUGUGGAAUGGGGACGACCCCUGAACUGCAGACUUGAAGGAGAUACUGCUAUUGGCCAGGGUGUGACUCGCUUUUUUUUGUCCUCCUGCAUUGAAAAGCUGAAGUCUGGAUUUUCCAUAAAUUUUGCAAAUGCCGAUGUAACACGGCUUUUUGAUGGCGAGCCUGGCCAUUUGGUCCCAUCAGCCUCUCAUUUUCUUGUCGAAAGUGACUUGUUCAUGGUGGCGGGGAGAAUGCUAGGCCACUCUUUCCUUCACGGAGGACCGUCCUUGUCUGGACUCAGCCCUGCUGUUGUUCAUGUACUGCUUGGUGGGAGUCCUGAAACGGCAACUCUAACUUUGGAGGAUUGUCCAGACCUGGACAUCAGAGAAAUAAUAAGGCUUCUCGGAGGAGAAUCCACACUAUCGGAGAAGGAUGCAGCAAGUGUCCAGGAAUUGGCCUACGCCUGGGACCUUCCAUCCAUAACUGAGACCAAAGGAGAUGGAUUUUUGAGAAGUUAUUGAUCCAUGCUGUUAUCGGCCGUGUCACAAGACAAAUAAAACAGCUCAGGCGAGGUCUCAAAGAAACCCCAAUGUGGACAGUACUGACCCAACGACCUGACACAGUGGACAGGCUUCUCCCAAAAGAGGGAUCUGGGAAUAUAAACCCUGAGGUACCUUUUUAUUAGUGAUGUUUUAUCAAAGACCUACAAAAGAGCACAAAAGUGAUAUGCAAUACAAUUAUGAUAAAGAAUUGCAAGGUUCCCACAGUCAUGAAAUUCAUGACUGUUCAUGUCAUGCCAUACAAUUAGAAAAACUAUUCUCAAGGCCUUGAAAUGUUGUGGAAUUAAAUGAAUGUUGAGGAGAAAGGUUAUUAUUAACACUGUUUUUGUCUGUUUGUCCUCAUCUUCUCAUCCUCCGGGAGUAAGUCUUAUAAUAUUGCACUUUAAUGGAUAUAUAGAGCUUCCUAUUAAAAACUAUUCAUAUCAAGUAAUUGAAAUGGUGUAUAAUAUUUUUUAAAUUUCAUGAACAACUUUUGAACAUUCAUUGAUAAAAUUGUGUCGUAACCCUGGAUUUUUCAAUUAAGGUACUUCUUCAGCGAAUCACUUGGCCCCGUGAGGACGACGAAGACGCAGAUUAUUCAGUCGCCACGAUAUGCUGCAUUACAGGCUAUCUUCGACAGUUCAUUGCUCAUGGUAGGUUUACACAAUGCAUUUGAAAGUAGGCUACUAUUAAAAUUUUAUUUGGCUACAUAAAUGUUUAGUAUUUACUUCACAUUUAGGUGAAUUGUUUUUCAUUGUAAUGUUGUUGUUUUGAGCUCAUUUAGAUAUUUUUGGUGAAUUUCAUUGUUUAAUCUCCUCCAUAGCUACACCAACCGAAUUGACUGAUCUGGUCAAAUUUUGGACUGGAUGGGAGAUCCUUCCAAGGAGCCUCUCAGUCGAAGUAGUCACUGGCAGAUACCCCACAGCGUCCACCUGCUUUGAGGCCUUGCGGGUCCCAGGGCAUUACAAAGAUUAUACAUCUUUCAGAACUGAUGUUCUCGCCAGCAUUUCAUCGUGCCAAACAGGAUUUGGUCUGGUGUGACCAAAGACUUUCACAGAUUCUUGGGACGAACAGAGAAACUAGCUGCUGUUUCAUUUGGGUUGGAGCCAACACACAUCUAAUCAGGCUGAAGGAAUAUUGCAUUCUGACAAAAGAACACACACUCUUAAACACACACACACGGCACUCACAAACAAACACACACACACACACACAUACACACACAAAAACAAACACGUACACACAAACUCAUGCAAACACACAAACACACACACACACACACACACACUCUAGAUUUCUAGAUAUUAUUCGAUUUUGGAUGUUACAUUAUCCACCAGUUAUGCUUUUUUGAGUUUUGUUUUAACAUUUCAGAUAGUUACGUUUCACUGAGUGUUGAGCCCUAUGUUACUGUCAAACGGAUCAGUCAAAACUGUCAGUUUGACUCCGUUUGAAGCAUAACAUCUAUAAAUAAAUGGUUGAUAUCAUUUUUUUGCUUUAUAAUUAUUACUUUUCCUAAUUUAAUGACCACUGGCAAACACAAAAAGUGCAAUAGUUCUUCCUCUGUUAUAUCCAGUAUUACUACACAGCCUAGGCUCUGUAAACUGGUAUGUAAACAGGCCCACCGUAGCUAGCAACAUGCCUGUUUACUAGGGCUGUAACGAUACACCAACUCACGAUUCGGUUUGUAUCACGAUUUUUGACCCACGGUUCGAUACAGCCCACGAUCUUUUUUAAAUUAAAAAGCAUUUUAUUUAAACAACACUUAUAUAACAAUUAACUUAAUGUAACAUUUAAUAACAAAUCAUUUGGAACACUGAACAGAUUCGAACAGAAAGAAUACUAUUAAAGUAUAGCUAAAUUAAUUAAUAAAUGACCAAAGAUUGCAGUUGGAGGAUGCUUGCACAGAUUCGAACAGAAAGAAUACUAUUAAAGUAUAGCUAAAUUAAUUAAUAAAUAACCAAAGAUUGCAGUUGGAGGAUGCUUGCAGGUAGGCAAAAACCCUCAACUAGUUUGGUUGUUUAGUCAAAUAUCCUAUAAGCGCUUCUUAUUAGGCUAUGUAGCUAAAAUAACGACAUAAUCAGGCCGUAUAGAAUGCAACAUGUUUAAUAGCCUAACUUUCAAUAGAUGCGAAAAAACAUGAACGUCAUGAACGUCGCGAGGCAUAGCGUUACGAGUAGCCUAUGUUUGUGCGCGAGAAUGGCAGUGUGCGCAUGUUUGUGUGUGAGUGACGUCAGCGAGUGAGUGGACGAGCGAGGAGAGCGAGCGGUAGCGUGUGUGUCUAGUGAAGAAGCGAACGAGUCCGGUAGAAUAAAGUACCCAUCCUGUCAAUAAUCGGUGGCCGCUUCAUUCCGACCUAUAAGCAGACCAACUGCCGGUCAAAUCACACAAAACAAUAGAGACAGCGAUCACACAGGCAAUUUUUUUCGUGCUUGGCCCACUCUGGAUAAAUGUCGUUCAUAUCGCAUAUGAGGACUUCGACGGCUGUGGAGAAGUACAAUCCUCCGUAGCCACCGAGAGCUGUCAUCACAGAGAGGGCAUCUCGUCGCAUACUUACGGCAUCGAUAGGAGGGGGCGGUGUCAGCAGACUAUUAUUUUGACAAAUUAUUAGCAAAUUUCAAUCGGACAAUUUGACCGGAGAGUUAGAAAGGGCGUAUCGCGCUUCUGCCUUCUCACACCGAGACAGGUUCGUGGCUGUUUACUACUGUUUACAGAGGCUGUGUAGUAAAUCUGGAUUUUUUUUAUUCAGGGAACACAAAGUAUGUACAGUUUCUCCUAAAUCAGUGUUCACAUCAAAGCUUUGACAACAUCCAUUAGGUUUUACACAAUUUGGCUUUAAAAAAAGAGUGAACGUAAACUGUUAAAUGUUUCAACAGCCCUCAUCUAUAAAUUAGAGGGGAAAAAGCAAGCCAGUUUAAAAUUGUGUUAAGUGUUAACAAAAGUGUAAAACUCAAAAUAUUUACAUUUCUUUUUCACCUUUUAUAAAUGUUAUUUGAUUUGCAUGGCAAGUUAUCACAACUGUUGAAAUGAGGUAAGUCAAGAAGGCCAUGGGAGAUGGUUUGAAAUGUUGUUUUUUUCCCGCUCCACAUCAAGAUCAUUCCAGUCCAGAUGUAAUGACGACCUUCGUCUUUUGGAGCCCGCUAACAAAACCAACGGGCCUCAUUAAUGUGGGCAGUCCAGCGAUAAACGAUUUGCUCCGAUACAAAAAAAUGACAGUUACAUGACAGACAUGGCCUAUUUAAGCCAGGGUGAGUGGGUUUAUGUCUCUAUGCAAAUCUCAAUUCAGUUCUUUCACAGGGAAAGAAAUUGUUCACAAAAC